UGGAAAACUCUAAAGCCAAGAGGCCGGGAA
rnacentral:piRNA from 1 species